UAUCAUGAUGAAUAAGAGCUUCGCUCGACAAUAACCCAGCUCGUCGAAUGGUCUCAUUUUUUAAACUCACGUAGAGGCCAUGUUGAGAUAACAUCCAAUCUGAAUUU
rnacentral:snoRNA from 1 species